rnacentral:rRNA from 1 species
CGAACGGCAGCACGGGAGCAAUCCUGGUGGCGAGUGGCGAACGGGUGAGUAAUAUAUCGGAACGUGCCCAGUCGUGGGGGAUAACGUAGCGAAAGCUACGCUAAUACCGCAUACGAUCUACGGAUGAAAGCGGGGGACUCGCAAGAGCCUCGCGCGAUUGGAGCGGCCGAUAUCAGAUUAGGUUGUUGGUGAGGUAAAAGCUCACCAAGCCUGCGAUCUGUAGCUGGUCUGAGAGGACGACCAGCCACACUGGAACUGAGACACGGUCCAGACUCCUACGGGAGGCAGCAGUGGGGAAUUUUGGACAAUGGACGAAAGUCUGAUCCAGCAAUGCCGCGUGCAGGACGAAGGCCUUCGGGUUGUAAACUGCUUUUGUACGGAACGAAACGGUCUGCUUUAAUACAGCGGGCUAAUGACGGUACCGUAAGAAUAAGCACCGGCUAACUACGUGCCAGCAGCCGCGGUAAUACGUAGGGUGCGAGCGUUAAUCGGAAUUACUGGGCGUAAAGCGUGCGCAGGCGGUUAUAUAAGUCAGAUGUGAAAUCCCCGGGCUCAACCUGGGACCUGCAUUUGAGACUGUAUAGCUAGAGUACGGUAGAGGGGGAUGGAAUUCCGCGUGUAGCAGUGAAAUGCGUGGAUAUGCGGAGGAACACCGAUGGCGAAGGCAAUCCCCUGGACCUGUACUGACGCUCAUGCACGA